AUUGAACGCUGGCGGCAUGCCUUACACAUGCAAGUCGAACGGCAGCACGGGUGCUUGCACCUGGUGGCGAGUGGCGAACGGGUGAGUAAUACAUCGGAACGUACCUUAUCGUGGGGGAUAACGCAGCGAAAGUUGCGCUAAUACCGCAUACGCCCUGAGGGGGAAAGCGGGGGACCGUAAGGCCUCGCGGGAUUAUACCGGCCGAUGUCUGAUUAGCUUGUUGGUGAGGUAAAAGCUCACCAAGGCGAUGAUCAGUAGCUGGUCUGAGAGGACGAUCAGCCACACUGGGACUGAGACACGGCCCAGACUCCUACGGGAGGCAGCAGUGGGGAAUUUUGGACAAUGGGGGCAACCCUGAUCCAGCAAUGCCGCGUGAGUGAAGAAGGCCUUCGGGUUGUAAAGCUCUUUUGUCAGGGAAGAAACACCGGCUCUAACACAGUCCGGGAAUGACGGUACCUGAAGAAUAAGCACCGGCUAACUACGUGCCAGCAGCCGCGGUAA
rnacentral:rRNA from 1 species